rnacentral:rRNA from 1 species
CCUACGGGUGGCAGCAGUGGGGAAUAUUGGGCAAUGGGCGCAAGCCUGACCCAGCAACGCCGCGUGAAGGAAGAAGGCCUUAUGGUUGUAAACUUCUUUUUAGAGGGAAGAGCAGAAGACGGUACCUCUUGAAUAAGCCACGGCUAACUACGUGCCAGCAGCCGCGGUAAUACGUAGGUGGCAAGCGUUGUCCGGAUUUACUGGGUGUAAAGGGCGUGUAGCCGGGCUGACAAGUCAGGUGUGAAAUCCGGGGGCUCAACCCCCGAACUGCAGUUGAAACUGUUGUUCUUGAGUAUCGGAGAGGCAGGCGGAAUUCCUGGUGUAGCGGUGAAAUGCGUAGAUAUUAGGAGGAACACCAGUGGCGAAGGCGGCCUGCUGGACGACAACUGACGGUGAGGCGCGAAAGCGUGGGGAGCAAACAGGAUUAGAUACCCGAGUAGUC